rnacentral:rRNA from 1 species
UGGGGAAUAUUGCACAAUGAGCGAAAGCUUGAUGCAGCGACGCCGCGUGGGGGAUGAAGGCCUUCGGGUUGUAAACCUCUUUCAGCUCUGACGAAGCUGCCUGGUUUUCUGGGUGGUGACGGUAGGGGCAGAAGAAGCGCCGGCCAACUACGUGCCAGCAGCCGCGGUAAGACGUAGGGCGCAAGCGUUGUCCGGAUUUAUUGGGCGUAAAGAGCUCGUAGGCGGCCUGUCGCGUCAACCGUGAAAUCCCGUGGCUUAACUGCGGGCGUGCGGUUGAUACGGGUGGGCUAGAGUUCGGUAGGGGAGACUGGAAUUCCUGGUGUAGCGGUGAAAUGCGCAGAUAUCAGGAGGAACACCGGUGGCGAAGGCGGGUCUCUGGGCCGAUACUGACGCUGAGGAGCGAAAGCGUGGGGAGCGAACA